UACGGAGGGUGCAAGCGUUAAUCGGAAUUACUGGGCGUAAAGCGCACGCAGGCGGUUUGUUAAGUCAGAUGUGAAAUCCCCGGGCUCAACCUGGGAACUGCAUUUGAAACUGGCAAGCUUGAGUCUUGUAGAGGGGGGUAGAAUUCCAGGUGUAGCGGUGAAAUGCGUAGAGAUCUGGAGGAAUACCGGUGGCGAAGGCGGCCCCCUGGACAAAGAC
rnacentral:rRNA from 1 species